rnacentral:rRNA from 1 species
GGGAUAACCCGGCGAAAGUCGGACUAAUACCGCAUGAAGCAGGGAUCCCGCAUGGGAAUAUUUGCUAAAGAUUCAUCGCUGAUAGAUAGGCAUGCGUUCCAUUAGGCAGUUGGCGGGGUAACGGCCCACCAAACCGACGAUGGAUAGGGGUUCUGAGAGGAAGGUCCCCCACAUUGGUACUGAGACACGGACCAAACUCCUACGGGAGGCAGCAGUGAGGAAUAUUGGUCAAUGGGCGUAAGCCUGAACCAGCCAAGUCGCGUGAGGGAUGAAGGUUCUAUGGAUCGUAAACCUCUUUUAUAAGGGAAUAAAGUGCGGGACGUGUCCCGUUUUGUAUGUACCUUAUGAAUAAGGAUCGGCUAACUCCGUGCCAGCAGCCGCGGUAAUACGGAGGAUCCGAGCGUUAUCCGGAUUUAUUGGGUUUAAAGGGUGCGUAGGCGGCCUUUUAAGUCAGCGGUGAAAGUCUGUGGCUCAACCAUAGAAUUGCCGUUGAAACUGGGGGGCUUGAGUAUGUUUGAGGCAGGCGGAAUGCGUGGUGUAGCGGUGAAAUGCAUAGAUACCACGCAGAACCCCGAUUGCGAAGGCAGCCUGCCAAGCCAUUACUGACGCUGAUGCACGAAAGCGUGGGGAUCAAACAGGAUUAGAUACCCUGGUAGUCCACGCAGUAAACGAUGAUCACUAGCUGUUUGCGAUACACUGUAAGCGGCACAG